rnacentral:rRNA from 1 species
CGGCGAACGGUCGCGUAACACGUAAGCAACCUGCCCCAAAGACCGGGACAACUUUCCGAAAGGAGGGCUAAUACCGGAUGUGCCCACGGAGUGACAUCGCUUUGUGAGUAAACCGAGCAAUCGGCUUUGGGAGGGGCUUGCGGCCUAUCAGCUAGAUGGUGGGGUAACGGCCUACCAUGGCGACGACGGGUAGCUGGUCUGAGAGGAUGGUCAGCCGGAUUGGGACUGAGAUACGGCCCAG